GUCUUUUCAAUUCACCAUUUUCUCCAUCUCACUCUUUUCUUCUCAAACACAAUUUCGAUUGCUUUGUCGUCUUCAUUUUCCAUUUUCAUUUCUUUAAGCUUCUCCAUUCCAAUCUUAGCUCACUGUCUCCGUCCGUCUUCGGUGAUCGCCGAUUUCGGAGUGCCUCAUGUACUUCACUCCGACAGCCGUUGUUCCUGGUUAUAUGUUCAUAUGGUGCCUCACUCAGCCAUCAUCAGUGACUACUCUUCUCUGAUUUAUACAAUUAGCUUCAUUUACAUGAGUUAAGGCUGAGUGAGGUCUUUUAAGCUAGGAGGAUUCUAUCUCAUGCAUUCUUUGAUUUUUUUUUCUAUUCCCUUUUAAUCUAGUUAAAUUGUUCUAGCUAGGCCUAAUUGCCUAUAUCCACAUUACUUGUCAUUUUGUUUGUAGACCUAGACUACAAUCACAUCAAGUUUUUUAUUUGAAUUUUUCAAUGUAAAAACAUCUUAUUUCUUGUCAUCUCUCUCUCUCACUCUGAUGCAAAUGUUCAUCAUUUGCUUAAAUUUUUUUUGGUUAUUUUCUGUUUUUUUUUUUCAAAUUUUCAUAAUGGCAAUUAUAAGGUGUUAUGAUUGGUUAAAUACAUGGUGGAAUUGGCUAGGCAUAAAAAUGAGCAAAAACCAUAAUAAUUUCACAAAGUCAACAUAUGAGAGUUGACUUUCGAUAUAGGCUUUUAUAAAUCAUCUUUUUAGAUCCAAAGUGUUUUUUUGGAGUAUAUGAGAGUACCAAAAAAGUUUGGGAGCAUUUGAGGAUAUUUUGAGACAAUUUUUGGAGUGUCAAGUCAGUGGGAAACGCGUCGCUCGAUCUUGAAAGAGUAAACCAGGCGACGUGUCGCUUGGUGCUGGGCCACGCAUCGCCCGACACCCAGGCGACACGUCGCGUGGGCCAUCCAUACGGGUUUGUACAAUGAUGUAUUUUUGGCUCUAAAAUCAAAUUAAAAUGUUCUAAUCUCAUUGGUUGAGUCUAAUGAGGUUCCUAUACUAUUUAAAGGGUUCAUUGAGUAAAUUUGUGACUUGAUCUCUCUCUCUCUAACUUUCAAGAUUACUAGUUUUCUCCAAGAUCUUUAUCAAGAAAGCUUGA